rnacentral:lncRNA from 1 species
AUGAAAAUGGAACAGGUCUACAGUGCUCCAGAAGUAAUAGAAUAUCAUUUCCUCAUAGGUACCACUGUAUUGGGUGCUUGCUAUUUGUGGAGCAAAAAGAAUGCUGAAGCAAGAAGGCAGCCUCGAAGGGGUGCUGUUCAGAGCCAAUUUACAAUUAUGAAGGAAGCCAGAUUGAAGAAAAUGCCAAAAAGUACAAAAGGGAAGGCCAAACUGAAAGAAUUUCAGAACAUCAGAGUCUGGGCCAUGAUGCACCCAGGCUUCAUGAUAUAUGAGAGAUGUUCACUGUGCCCUCAAGUGGAUUCUUCUCCACCAAUCCAAAAUUUUAUCCCAGGAGACACCAGCAAUCAUUUGCAGGAGAUAUUGAUCAACCAGAGAAUGCACAUUUCUGAACCAGGUAAGUCCAGGGUCAGGGAUGGAGGCAGGUUUACCUGAAGUCAUAACAACAUCCAGUGGAACGAGAAGCCUAAAACUCUAGGUCACAGUCUUUACAUUCAAUUCACCGGAAACUCGGUUGUGUUCCCUAGUAGAGAAUUUAUGUGUUGCUACUCUAGCCUCUGAACUAGCAGAGUUCCAGGAAUAAGAAGGGAAUGUUUUAAAAGUAAAGCAUUGGGUGAAGUUCUGGAGCUUCUUUUCCUACUUCUGUGCUUUGGUUAGUGAAAUUUUGUUUGUUUGUUUUUGUCUUUUUGCCAUUUCUAGGGCUGCUUCUGUGGCAUAUGGAGGUUCCCAGGCUAGCGGUCUAAUCAGAGCUGCAGCCAACGGCCUACACCACAGCCACUGCAACGUGGGAUCCGAGCCACAUCUGCAAUCUGCACCACAGCUCAUGGCAACACCGGAUCCUUAACCCACUGAGCAAGGCCAGGGAUCGAACCCUCAAUCUCAUGGAUUUGUUAACCACCGAGGCACUACAGGAACUCCUGAAAUGUUUUUUGGCUAUGGAAGAAACAUCAUAUAUGGGUCACUGGUUCACCAUAUAUGUCACAUUCUGCAGGACUCACUCAAGACUUGGAGUGUGGUAUCUUCCACACAAAGCUAGAACAGACUGUUUACCACCCUGUGAGACUGGCUGCUUCUGGGUGAUGGGAUAGCACCACAUAGCACCACGAAUACCAUAAGUUUAGUCUGUUGCCUCGCUUCUUUGAAAAAUUAUUUCCUUAGGCAGGACACAAAAAGCAAACCAUUAAUUAAAAUGUGAUGAUUGAACUUCAGCAAAGUUAACUCCUACUCUUUGAGAAACUCUAUGAAGCAAAUGAAAAGGCUGGAGUUCUCAUUGUGGCUCAGUACGUUAAGAAACCAACAUAGUAUCCAUGAGGAUGUGGGUUCAAUCCCUGGCCUUGCAUGGAGGGUUAAGUAUCCAGCAUUGCUGUGUGGCAUAGGCCAGCAGCUGCAGCUCUGAUUUGACCCCUAGCCUAGGAACUUGCAUAUGCCACAGGUGUGGCCAUAAAAAGAAAAAAAAAUGAAAAUGAAAAGGUAAGCCACAGAUUAGAAGAAAUGAUUCACCGUAUAUGUAAGCAAAAAUAACUUGUUUCCUGACUAUGUAGAGAACUUAUACAACUUGGUAAUUAAAAAAAAAAAGAAAGAAAGGGCAAAAUUUGAACAGACACUCCACAAAAGAUAUAAAAAACAGUCAAUAAGCCUGUUAGAAGAUGCUCCACAUCACUAGACAUCAGGGAAUGAAAUUUCAAACCAUAAAGAAAUAGUAUACACCCAUUAAAAUAGCUAAGAUAGAAAACAUUGACAUUACCAAAUGUUGGUGAGGAUGUCCAGCAACUGGAACUCUCCUGUAUUUCUGAUGAAAUUAUGAGAUGGUACAAUCAUUUUUAAAAACAGUUUGUUGGUUUCUUAGAAAGCUAAAUAUGAACUAACCAUACGCCCCCAAAUUCCACUCCUUAGGUGUCUAUCCAAGGGAAACAAAAAUGUAUGUCCACAUGAAUACUCUAUAAGAAUAUUUAUAGCAGCUUUAUUCAGGAGACUCAAAACCUGGAAACAACCCAAAUUUUUAUUAAAAGAUAAAGAAAUAGUGGUAUGUCCAUACAAUGUGUUAUCUCUCAUUAAUAAAAAAGGAAAAAAAAUGCUGAUACUACCA